UACGAAGGGUGCAAGCGUUAAUCGGAAUUACUGGGCGUAAAGGGUGCGUAGGCGGUUCGUUAAGUCUGUCGUGAAAUCCCCGGGCUCAACCUGGGAAUGGCGAUGGAUACUGGCGAGCUAGAGUGUGUCAGAGGAUGGUGGAAUUCCCGGUGUAGCGGUGAAAUGCGUAGAGAUCGGGAGGAAUACCCGUGGCGAAGGCGGCCUGCUGGGAUACACCUGACGCUGAGACACGAAGGCGUGGGGAGCGAACGGG
rnacentral:rRNA from 1 species